GUCAGGUGGUAAAUAGGUGAUUAUUAGCGCGAGGACCACGUGAAAUAGAGGGUGGUGCCUUUUUUGUUUUCUCCUUUUAAAAAUUAAAUGCUCACAAGUUCCCUACCUUCUGCGUAAGAAUCACGUUCCUUCAAGUGUACUGUGUACCUUCUUCUUCUUGACAUAUCAACAAGAUUUUCCAAAAGGGUCCAUAUAUACAAAUUGAUUAGCAACAGGACAUCACCUCAAGAUCAUAGCCAGCAAGGUUUGCGCGGAAAUCAAAGGAAGACACCAUCUCAGAUAACAUAUUAAGCAGUAGCUCCUUUCCCUUUGCACAAUUUGCCACAAUUGUGAAAAUCUCCUUGUUAGACAUCCCUCUGGCGUACAAACUCGCUCUGAAGUUAGCAGUCCAUUCUGCAACAGAUUCGAGUCUCUGGAACAUGUGAAGUACUCGAGAACCAAGCGGACUAAUCAAACAGCCAUCUAAAGGGGAGGUCAUUUCCACAGUUAAAGCAGCCAGACAGAAAUCCCAUAACUCCUGAUUCCACAGGUUGAGCAAUGUCUCUUUCCCGUUUUUGUAAAACUCUUACAAACUCAUCUGCGCUUAAAUGCCCGUCGCCAUUUGAGUCAAACACAUGGAAAACGAUAUCAAUCACAUUGUCCGUGAGGGUGAUGCCACAAACCUGAUAUUUACCAAAUUAAUCAUCAGACUACUUAGAAACUAAAUGUUCUUAAAGCAUAAAAAUAUCUACUUAUUUCUCAGAAGAUUUUCACAACAAUUAUAAGAACAAGUGUAUCAUUUGCAAUAUUAUCAACUGAACAUCAGCCUCAACCUAAUUAGGAUUUGUUGGAUCAAUUUUUUUAAAGCCAUUUAACUCUAUUAAGGGAAAAAAUCUCCAUGAUAAACAAAUUUAUUUAAUCUAACGACAGAAAAGCCUCUCCACCUGAUUAUUUCCCAUUGAAGUUACAUUAAUUAAAUGAACCCAUAUGAGCCCUCGAAAUAGUGGAACCUGAUUACGCCCAUUUUAACAAUUCUCCACAUGAAUAUCCAUAACAGAUCUCAACAUGCGCAUAUAAACAGAAAACGAAUAUGCUACAUCAUAAAGCAAGGCCAAGCAUCUUACAUAGGAUGCAGCUCUUUGAAAGUCCUCCUUUGUUAACAGGCCAUUUACUUUCCCAUAACUAAAGAGGGCCAAAGAAAAUGGCCGCAACUUUCUACGCAAUUCUGCAAAAUUUUUAAACUCCUCAAAUGUUAUUCGAAUGUCCUUGAGGCGUGCCUCAUUAUUUAAUUCAUCAACCCGAUCGAGUAACUUAUCCAAGUGACUCAAGUCAGCAGAAGCAACCAUGGACAAUGCAAAAUCCUUAGCUGAUAUGGUUUUUUGUAAUUUAUAGUCAUAGUGUGCAAAUUCCAAUCUCAAAAUCUGCAAAAGACAGCAAGAGUAAUCAUAUAAGAAUAUUCCUGUUAGCACUAAAUUCAGCUAAAGCCCCAAAAAUAAGAUUUUAAACUGCUACACAUCACAAAGAGUGUAACAUGCAAAUCAAAUGCAUGGAUGCCCAGCCAUACCAUAAGUGAAAACAAUCAUUUCAACUUGAUUGAACGUGAUAUCAAUUGUCAUAGGCCUAUCCCCGCCCCUGCACGAGUUGUGUGCAUCUAGAGGGGUUGGGAGAGAAGGCUACUUUCCUGCUGACCUAGUCAAACCUGACACAUGAACAAGGUUAUCAUGAACGUGAUGCAACAUACUUUUCAUACAAUCUGAAAUUCCCAAAGAACAAAAUAUUCAGCAGAAGAGAGAGAGGAAGAAUAAGAAGAAGAGAAAAAGCUUGCAAAUGUAUUUUGCUUGAUAGCCAAUUACCUAUCUUAGAGCUAUCCAAAUCCACCCUAUUCCUUCACCAUUUUAACAACCAUUAUCAUAUUCAUUGCAAUUAUUUGACCACUGUCCAAUGUAGAAGUAUGCCUAGUACAGUAAAAAUAAAGGAACUCACAAGAAAUUAGACACAAGUCUUCUUUUCUAAUAUAAUCUAAAUUCCUUGAGACAGACUGACAAUCUCUAUCCGUGUAUGUCAUUACAAGUGACAAUCAGACUAAUUUAAACAUCUAGGGAAUAAUUUCAGCUGACUAAAAACUGACAUUAUAUAUCUUUAUGGCAUUCCAACUUUGGCACUAUAGUCGAUCAGUUAUGGGCUAGAGCCCCAGGUUUGAAAACACAAUCCUGGUGGCAUCAAGUGACAACAUUCAAGUUCUACUUCUAAAUACUACUGCUAAGCUAUCUAAUGUUGCAUUAAUGUCAACUCACAUAAAAGCAGGGCCUUUUAUUGGUUCUAGAUUCCUAUUUCUUGCUCAAUUUUAUUCAGUUGACCACAGGUUUACCCAAACUUAAGAAUGCCACAUACAACAACCAUUGCACUUUGUUAUGGUGCACCUGCAAUAUCACAACAAUAAGAUCACAUUGGAUUCACACCAUGUUAAAAAAAAAAAAGCACAAUAAUAAAUAUGUCUCGCACAACUCUUUAGUUUUGGGUCAAUAUAGGAGAGGUAAAGGUUUACCUCAUGAUGCAAAUCCUUCAAAAACUGGACAAACUUAUCAUGAUGGAGGCGUCCAUUUCCAUCUUUGUCAAAGAAGUACUCCACCACACCUCCAUUUUCCACAGUGCCACUAACUUUCAACCCUGUUCGAAGUCCAUUCUUGUGGACAGCCCCUUGUCUGUUGUGAGCUCGCAUCAAGGCCAUCACUUUCUUAAACUCUUCCUUACUGAUCUCCCCAUUGCUGUUAAUGUCAAACAUUUUGAAAGCCACAGAAAAGCUUGAUUCUGGAAUACUAAGUAAUGUUACAAAAAAGAUAUACUCCUUGAAUGAUAUAAGCCCAUCAGUGUCCAGAUCAAAUAGCUUAAACAAAUCGGAUGGAGGACAUCUUAGCUCGCCAGGCCUCCUUUCCCCACUCAAAUAUCCUUCUCUAACAAGGUGGGAUUCAGAAGGAGGGAAAACAGGAACAACGGCCCGCAUCAAAUCUGCUGGUUUCAUUAGUAACUCUCCAUCUGCUGCUUGGAAAGAUGCAAAGUACUCAAAAACCUUCUCAGGAGGACUUCGCAGCCUUAUCCUCUUCUCGUAUUUAAAGAAAACCUUUCUCCUAUACGCAUCUCCAAAGAGAAACUUUGAGCUAUAGUACGGCAACGAAAGUUUGCCAAAUGUAGAAGUAGAACACGGAUUCCCCACCGUCGAUCCAGCCGCGGUGGCCGUUGUUGGCCAGUCGGCGAAACUCAAUAGCGAUCUCUUGAAGAAUAGAGACUGAGAAUCACUGGUAGAAUUUGAUAACCAGUAAAACAAACCUAUGGUGGAGCCCACUGCGAUCCCCGAAAACCAUCUCUUGAAGGAUCCAUGAGCGUGAUUGUCGUUUUCAUCAUUACUCUUGCGUGCGGAGGCGUAGAUCACAGACAACGAAGACAUAGAGGAUGGUCCUGUAUUGGAGUACUGGCGAGAUUGGAGCCAUUGGAUAAGGUAGAGUUGAUGGAUAGACGGUCGAGAUCUUUUAAGAGAUGACAAGGCAGGCAUGGCGAAGACUUGGAAACAGAUAAACAGAAGAUCGAAGAAGCGAGAUUUGUGAAUAUGAUUUUCCCAUUCGA
rnacentral:misc_RNA from 1 species